GAUGAACGCUGGCGGCGUGCCUAAUACAUGCAAGUCGAGCGAACAGACGAGGAGCUUGCUCCUCUGACGUUAGCGGCGGACGGGUGAGUAACACGUGGAUAACCUACCUAUAAGACUGGGAUAACUUCGGGAAACCGGAGCUAAUACCGGAUAAUAUAUUGAACCGCAUGGUUCAAUAGUGAAAGACGGUUUUGCUGUCACUUAUAGAUGGAUCCGCGCCGCAUUAGCUAGUUGGUAAGGUAACGGCUUACCAAGGCAACGAUGCGUAGCCGACCUGAGAGGGUGAUCGCCCACACUGGAACUGAGACACGGUCCAGACUCCUACGGGAGGCCGCAGUAGGGAAUCUUCCGCAAUGGGCGAAAGCCUGACGGAGCAACGCCGCGUGAGUGAUGAAGGUCUUCGGAUCGUAAAACUCUGUUAUUAGGGAAGAACAAAUGUGUAAGUAACUAUGCACGUCUUGACGGUACCUAAUCAGAAAGCCACGGCUAACUACGUG
rnacentral:rRNA from 1 species